rnacentral:rRNA from 1 species
CAGUCGCCACGGUAAUACGUAGGGUGCAAGCGUUAAUCGGAAUUACUGGGCGUAAAGCGUGCGCAGGCGGUUAUAUAAGACAGAUGUGAAAUCCCCGGGCUCAACCUGGGAACUGCAUUUGUGACUGUAUAGCUAGAGUACGGCAGAGGGGGAUGGAAUUCCGCGUGUAGCAGUGAAAUGCGUAGAUAUGCGGAGGAACACCGAUGGCGAAGGCAAUCCCCUGGGCCUGUACUGACGCUCAUGCACGAAAGCGUGGGGAGCAAACAGGAUUAGAGACCCCAGUAGUCCCUGUCUCUUAUAC